rnacentral:rRNA from 1 species
GACGAACGCUGGCGGCGUGCUUAACACAUGCAAGUCGAACGGAAAGGCCCUGCUUUUGUGGGGUGCUCGAGUGGCGAACGGGUGAGUAACACGUGAGUAACCUGCCCUUGACUUUGGGAUAACUUCAGGAAACUGGGGCUAAUACCGGAUAGGAGCUCCUGCUGCAUGGUGGGGGUUGGAAAGUUUCGGCGGUUGGGGAUGGACUCGCGGCUUAUCAGCUUGUUGGUGGGGUAGUGGCUUACCAAUGCUUUGACGGGUAGCCGGCCUGAGAGGGUGACCGGCCACAUUGGGACUGAGAUACGGCCCAGACUCCUACGGGAGGCAGCAGUGGGGAAUAUUGCACAAUGGGCGGAAGCCUGAUGCAGCAACGCCGCGUGCGGGAUGACGGCCUUCGGGUUGUAAACCGCUUUCGCCUGUGACGAAGCGUGAGUGACGGUAAUGGGUAAAGAAGCACCGGCUAACUACGUG